GUGGAUUAGAUACCCUGGUAGUCCACGCCGUAAACGAUGUCUACUAGCCGUUGGGAGCCUUGAGCUCUUAGUGGCGCAGCUAACGCACUAAGUAGACCGCCUGGGGAGUACGGUCGCAAGAUUAAAACUCAAAUGAAUUGACGGGGGCCCGCACAAGCGGUGGAGCAUGUGGUUUAAUUCGACGCAACGCGAAGAACCUUACCAGGUCUUGACAUCUAGAGAACUUUCCAGAGAUGGAUUGGUGCCUUCGGGAACUCUAAGACAGGUGCUGCAUGGCCGUCGUCAGCU
rnacentral:rRNA from 1 species